rnacentral:rRNA from 1 species
GACAAACAGUUCAAGUCAAGGUUAUUUGGUGUAAAAGGAGGUUAAAGAGGAAUUGUAGAAAGUUUUUGCUUAAUUUAGGGGUGGAAUUUGUAUAUUAAUUUUGAAUUUAGUAUUUUCUUUUCUUGAUGCCUCGAAACUUAUUUUGUAGACCGGGAUUAGAUACCCCGUUAUUUUAGGUGUAAAAGAUAAUUAAUUAAAUAUUUACCAGAGUAUUACGGGCCAAAAAGUUAUUCUUCAGGCUUAAAACUCAAAAAACUUGGCGGUGCCUUAUUUCCUUCCAGGGGAAUCUGUCCUGUAAAUGAUAGUCCUCGAUUUAACUUACUUUACUUUGUAUAAAAUUAAAAAGCAGUUUGUAUACCGUCGUCGUCAGAGAACCUUUGAGAGGUUAGAAGUUGUCAGAGCAAAAAAGUUUAAAGGUUACUAAAAUUCGAUAAUACAAUGUUAAGAUGUCAGAUCAAGGUGCAGCUGAUGGUAAAGUAGAGAUGGAUUACAUUAUAGAGUUUAUGUGGAUUUAAAUUUGUAAAAAUCUUAAUGAAAUUGGACUUGGAAGUAAUUUUAUUACUUGAGUAGAGAGUAAAUAUGAAAUAGGUACUAAGGUGCGU